UUAAUAUUAUAUCAAGGUCUGUUUGUAGUUCACACUAUAAAUUGUGAGAAUAAUAAGUAGUAAUUAACUAAUAAGUAGGUACUUGGAAUUCAAUACAAAUCAAUGCACCAUGGAUAUUAUGUACGGUACUUACUAUACCUACGUGGCUACGUUGUACGUACACAAUAUACUGUCUUAAAAUUAAGUAUAGGAAAAUUAAAGUAUAUGAGUACAAGAUGCUAGGAUAUUUAGUGUACACAAUGAAACGGACAUUGACUACCUACGUAAUAAAUAACAAAUUUUCAUUGAUGUAUAAAUAGAUUACAAAUGGCUAACAGGAGAUAAAUGUGAUUUUGUUAUAAUAUGCAUAGCUAUUCAUAUUAUAUGAUAUAAUUAUACAUGCUAUUUGCUAUUUGCCUUUUGGUAAGACACUACGUUAGCAUUAGCUGGAAGGUACCUAACCCAACCUAUUUAUAUCUAUAGUGCAUAUACUAUAUGCGCGCAAGUCGCACGUCUUACAAUCUUACCAGAAGUGUAUUCUGUAAUAUCUUACGCGAGGAUGAUUAAAAUAUAGUAUACAUUUGACCCAUUUAUAUAUAAAACCGAAUUGAUUUAUUUUUAGUUUCUGUUGUGUGUUUAUACUGUAGUUAAAUCUCGAACAGUUUCUUAUGUGUUAGUCAACACUGUUGAAUAAACCUACUUAUAAAUAUACAUAGAUUGGUAAAAACGAGACGAGUCAGUGGUAAAUAUUCUCACUUUGAAAAUUACAUUUAAAAUAUAUAAAUAUGGUCGUUCUGGACUUUU